rnacentral:rRNA from 1 species
ACUCAAAUGAAUUGACGGGGGCCCGCACAAGCGGUGGAGCAUGUGGUUCAAUUCGACGCAACGCGAAGAACCUUACCCAGGCUUGAACAGCGAGUGACCAACUACGAAAGUGGUCUUCCGCAAGGACACUCGUAGAGGUGCUGCAUGGCUGUCGUCAGCUCGUGUCGUGAGAUGUUGGGUUAAGUCCCGCAACGAGCGCAACCCUUGUUUUCUGUUGCCAUCAGGUAAUGCUGGGCACUCUGGAGAGACUGCCGGUGAUAAACCGGAGGAAGGUGGGGAUGACGUCAAGUCAGCAUGGCCUUUAUGUCUGGGGCUACACACGUGCUACAAUGGCGGAUACAAAGCGUCGCGAGCCCGCGAGGGGGAGCUAAUCGCAUAAAGUCCGUCUCAGUUCGGAUAGCAGGCUGCAACUCGCCUGCUUGAAGUCGGAAUCGCUAGUAAUCGCGGAUCAGCACGCCGCGGUGAAUACGUUCCCGGGCCUUGUACACACCGCCCGU